GACGAACCGUGCGAACGUUGUUCGGAAUCACUGGGCUUAAAGGGCGCGUAGGCGGCUUGCCAAGUCAGUGGUGAAAUCCCACAGCUUAACUGUGGAAGUGCCUUUGAUACUGUCGAGCUCGAGUCCGGAAGAGGCGAGUGGAAUUCCUGGUGUAGCGGUGAAAUGCGCAGAUAUCAGGAGGAACACCAAUGGCGAAGGCAGCUCGCUGGGACGGUACUGACGCUGAGACGCGAAAGCGUGGGGAGCGAACAGG
rnacentral:rRNA from 1 species